rnacentral:rRNA from 1 species
UAAGCAAGAUAUGAAAUCGUACGGCUCAACCGUAUAUCCGUAUUUUGAACUGAUUAACUAGAGGGCGAGAGAGGUUAGUGGAAUUUCUUGUGUAGGAGUGAAAUCCGUAGAUAUAAGAAGGAACACCGAUGGCGUAGGCAGAUAACUGGCUCGCACCUGACACUGAGGCACGAAAGCGUGGGGAGCAAACGGGAUUAGAUACCCCGGUAGUCCACGCCGUAAACUAUGGAUGCUA